CAAGUGGAACAUGAAAUACUGUUCCUCCAGUUUCCAUUGAAUUCUCCAAUUAUAGACGACUGCUUUACAAGAGACUGGCGCUAACUUCAACAUUCAUGCCAAAGAGAAAAUGCAAUGAUUCAGACUUCAGGAGGCAAAAGUGAUGUAGUGGUGCCACCCCCAUCCGAGACGACUCUACGAUGACUUGGAGUAUAUGAGGGCUUGGUGACUUGGCUUGCUGCAGGCUGCCUUUCCACUGCACCUGUGAGACACACACC